AGGGAUCAUUACACAAAUAUGAAGGCGGGCUGGAACCUCUCGGGGUUACAGCCUUGCUGAAUUAUUCACCCUUGUCUUUUGCGUACUUCUUGUUUCCUUGGUGGGUUCGCCCACCACUAGGACAAACAUAAACCUUUUGUAAUUGCAAUCAGCGUCAGUAACAAAUUAAUAAUUACAACUUUCAACAACGGAUCUCUUGGUUCUGGCAUCGAUGAAGAACGCAGCGAAAUGCGAUAAGUAGUGUGAAUUGCAGAAUUCAGUGAAUCAUCGAAUCUUUGAACGCACAUUGCGCCCUUUGGUAUUCCAAAGGGCAUGCCUGUUCGAGCGUCAUUUGUACCCUCAAGCUUUGCUUGGUGUUGGGCGUCUUGUCUCUAGCUUUGCUGGAGACUCGCCUUAAAGUAAUUGGCAGCCGGCCUACUGGUUUCGGAGCGCAGCACAAGUCGCACUCUCUAUCAGCAAAGGUCUAGCAUCCACUAAGCCUUUUUUUCAACUUUUGACCUCGGAUCAGGUAGGGAUACCCGCUGAACUUAA
rnacentral:sRNA from 2 species